rnacentral:rRNA from 1 species
AUGCAUAAGCUCGUAAAUGUUCAUUAUUUGGACAAGAUGACAUUUAUGCUUGGAAAUGACGAUGAAGGGGAAGAGGCUAUGGUUUUUGACACAAGUACAAGCUUUGAUGAUCUUGUAGUUUAAGUGAGAAGCGUCUUACAUUGGAAUGACCCAAAUGCCGAGGUUAAGCUUAUUGGGAGGUAUGACGUUGGAUUGGGAGUAAAGUCCUGAUUAAAGAGUAUGCCCAUCACCUCCCAAUUGCAUUGGAAUGUGUACAAGGACAAAGUAGGCGCAUCACAAGACAAGUCUCUUGAGAUCUUUGCCACAAAGGUUGAUCCUCCUCCUCCCUUGCAAAUUGAUUUGAACCGCAAUGCAUCCUCCCCAAUACAUGAUGAUAGUGCCGAGGUGUAUAUCCCCAAUUGUUCUAGCCAACCACCAAGUAGCCAACCC